rnacentral:rRNA from 1 species
AGGACGAACGCUGGCGGCGUGCUUAACACAUGCAAGUCGAGCGGAAAGGCCCUUCGGGGUACUCGAGCGGCGAACGGGUGAGUAACACGUGAGUAACCUGCCCUGGACUUUGGGAUAACCCUCGGAAACGGGGGCUAAUACCGGAUACGACAACUCAUCGCAUGGUGUGGUUGUGGAAAGUUUUUCGGUUGGGAUGGGCUCGCGGACUAUCAGCUUGUUGGUGGGGUGAUGGCCUACCAAGGCGACGACGGGUAGCUGGUCUGAGAGGAUGGCCAGCCACAUUGGGACUGAGACACGGCCCAGACUCCUACGGGAGGCAGCAGUGGGGAAUAUUGGACAAUGGGCGAAAGCCUGAUCCAGCCAUGCCGCGUGAGUGAUGAAGGCCUUAGGGUUGUAAAGCUCUUUCAGUAGGAAGAUAAUGACGGUACCUACAGAAGAACGCCCGGCUAACUUCGUGCCAGCAGCCGC